CGGCAGCCGCGGGAAUACGUAGGGUGCAAGCGUUAAUCGGAAUUACUGGGCGUAAAGCGUGCGCAGGCGGUUAUAUAAGACAGAUGUGAAAUCCCCGGGCUCAACCUGGGAACUGCAUUUGUGACUGUAUAGCUAGAGUACGGCAGAGGGGGAUGGAAUUCCGCGUGUAGCAGUGAAAUGCGUAGAUAUGCGGAGGAACACCGAUGGCGAAGGCAAUCCCCUGGGCCUGUACUGACGCUCAUGCACGAAAGCGUGGGGAGCAAACAGGAUUAGAUACCCGCGUAGUCCCUGUCUCUUAUAC
rnacentral:rRNA from 1 species